AAGCUCUGACUAGGCACAGACCAGCACACGGCCACAGUACCACACAGAACAGUAGCACCGGGCUCCGGGCACCAGGGCAGGCGAAUUCCUAGGUUCGCUGGAGCCUGGUCCGAGGGAUGGCCGCCGCCUCGCUCGCGUUGGCGAGUCCUCUCCGGCUUCUCCUCCGCGUCCGUCACCCGCGCGGAGCCAUCGCCGUCCCGUGCUACUUCAUCUCGCGAGGACGGUAUAGCACCGCCAUUGCCGUUGCAGCAGCGAGGGAUUUGGCGGUGAAAGGAAGCGUGGACAGGAAUUCAGCGGAGGAAGUCAGGAACAUUCUGAAUAUGGCAGAAAGGGCUUCCCAACGAAGAAAUGUUUUUCACACCAAUUUUCUUACUCCACCUAUAGUGAAAGAGGCUAUGCUGGCACUUGAAAAGUUUGCAGAUACCAAAGCAGUAGCUCAGGGUGGCUACCCUCAGGCUGAGAGGUGCCGAAUAUCUGUUGGACACCCGGACGUCAUGACAAGUAACCCAGAUGUGGUUGCUGCUUUGAGCAUCUCAGGGAAUUUCCGGUUGGAAUCUUGUUCUCAUGGUGACUUUCUUGGUGCUAUUCUUGGGACAGGAAUAACAAGGGAGAAAGUUGGAGAUAUUCUUUUGCAGGGGGAACGAGGUGCCCAGGUCCUUGUUGACCCAGAACUUGUUGACUAUCUGAUUUCUACCCUUGAAAAGGUGGGGAAAGUUGGUGUUUCAUGCACUCAGAUUCCUUUGCUUGCUCUAGAAUAUGAACCACCAAGGACCAAUUCAUUUAAAACUGUAGAAUCAUCGCUCAGGGUUGAUGCCCUUGCCAGUGCAGGAUUUAAAAUCUCACGCACGAAGCUUGCUAGCUUGAUAAGUUCUGGUGAUGUUCGUGUGAAUUGGACACCAACAACAAAAAAUGGAGUUACCCUCAAAUCUGGAGAUGUUGUUUCUGUUAGUGGGAUGGGAAGGUUAAAGAUUGGGGAAAUUGUGACUACGAGGAAAGGAAAAUAUGCGGUUGAGUUGAUUCGCUAUUUGUAAUCAUGGAACUGGUCUACUUUCAUGUCUGAAACUCUGAAUUUAACGGUACACAUUUUCUCCUAUAUGUGAUGAGAAUCAUGUAUUAAGUAUUACUUCUCAGUGAAGUUGAAAGUGAUGCACAAAUCUGAGUAUAUUUGUAGUAUUCAUUGACUGCUUUAGCUUCGUAAUGCAAAUAUUCUUAUAGGUCAAGAAUUUCAUAAAGUCGUCAGUGUACAUUCAUUAUUUCAAAUAAUAAGCACCAAAGGGCCAGGUUGCUUUGGAUCUUCCAUCGCUUCUGUGUUAUCACCAACAUAGUCUUGUACAACUCUGCAAUAUCGAAUCACUUCUACUUCUGUUAGUACUUUCUGAUCUGAAGCUUAAAAGAAAAUGAGAUAAGGUAUAAGUCUUCACAACUGAAAAGAGAACUCUUUUUUCUUCUGAUCCAGCUUGUGUCUUGUCAUAGUAAAUAGCAUACCCUUUUUCUUGUUUGAAAUCUCACUAGGCUGCCUGCAUCAUAAGUUCAUAACACGUGAAAUGAUUAUGACGAGAUGACAGAAACCUUUCGCAAAUGGGAAAGUCGACAGCUACCAGUCAUAGAUCCAUACGCCUUUCAAUGCUAAUAGGCUUGACAGAGAACUAUUGCUUUUUACUUAUUCUGUGGUUCUUGAUUGCAAAAUCAUCACGAAGUUCAAUAUCCAAAGCUGCAAAUUGUGCAAGGUCGUAGUAUUGCUUCAUUUGACUUGUCUCAAGGUUACUCACGCGGAGCUUGUUUUCUUGGGAACAGGUUGAAGCAAAAGUCCCGUGGCUCCUGUGUUUUUUUGGGUCAAAUUAUUAGCUACUAUCUCACGAAAAACAUACUCAGAAUCCUUGUACACUGAAGUAUUGCUGUAUUUUUAGCUAAAUAUUAUCUAUAUGUCGCUGUGUUUGGUUAGAUGUAGGAAUGGGAGUUUAGAGGUUUGUUUGUUUGGUGGGGAUAAGAGUUUUGACUGGAUGGGGAUGGGAGAAUAGGGGGUAAACUCCCACCAAAUUUUUACGUGGAAGGUGGAUGCCCCCGCACUGUCCAUCAUGAUUUAUGACGCAAUUUUUUACUCUCAAGUCUCAAACCCUCACAUAAACAAAGGUCAUGAAGUCAUUUUCCAACUAUCACUUUUGAUGCUUUCACAAACCAACUUCCAAGUGAAUUUCCUCCGCCAACAUCUAUUGCUACUGCUGAAUCCAAUGCUCUUGCCACUUGCCAGAGGCACCGUAUGUGGUUGCCCAUGUUUAGAGUCAGAGAGAGUACCAUGGGCCUUCUGGCUGAAAGAAGCUGCAACCACUCUCCUGUUCUUAACAACACAAUAUGCUAUUUUUUGUGUUCUCUUUUACAGAUACAUCCAACAAUAUCUAACGAGCUGCUACAUGUGAAGUUGUCAUGCGAAAAGCAGGAUGUCACAUGUUUGUAAAGGUAGGUUUUGUGAUGUAUCCAUCCUUGUGGAACUUUGGAUGCACUAUGUUGACAGCCAGCGAGGAGCUGUUUAUUGUUUGUUUGAUCUUUGAAGCCCAGCAAUUAAUUGGCCAGGCACAAUAGCUACAGCUACCUUACAGUUUUCUUUGGAGAUGGGAGCACGAGCAGCGAAACCCAACGGUGCUUGAAAUGUUUUCGGUGAGUUGAAUCAAUGGAAAAGGUUAAGGGCGAACUGCACUUUCCGGAAAAGAUUCAUGCUCGUUUGGACACUUCCACGAGAAGUUUACUUUGAGCCGGUGCGAAGAUAUACUAAACUAGAGCCUUGUCCCUGCACUGUCAAGUCCCAGUUUGCUUGCUCCAGCUGCUUGGGUACCUUUUUGUAUCUCUCGCAGUCCAACUAGUGGAAAAUAACACUUGUUUUUUUUAAGGGAAAGCAAAGGCUUCUCCGGAUGUGCCAUUUGUAAGGCAAGAUUAAUGUGUGACAAAAUUGACUAAAGGCUAAAUAAGGUUCCAAAAUA